rnacentral:tRNA from 1 species
GGGGGCGUGGUGGAACAGGGAUACACUGAGGGCUUAAAACCCUCUGUCCGCAAGGACUUGCAGGUUCGAAUCCUGCCGCCCCUACCA